CCGCCAUCACGCCCGGCUGCUUUUUUUGUUUUAGUAGAGAGGAGGUUUCACCGUGUUAGCCAGGAUGGUCUCAAUCUCCUGACCUCGUGAUCCGCCCGCCUCGGCCUCUCAAAGUGCUGGGAUUACACGCGUGAGCCACCGCGCCUGGCCUGAAGAAAAGGGAUUACUUUCCUCACUUUGUUAUAUAUCCUGGAAGCUAUGAACAAUGAUGCUUCUUCAUACUCUUCAACCUCAUCAUGAUACCUUGCACGAAGCAGGAGCUCAACUAAUUUGGGUUGAGGCCAGAAUGCCAAUAGUGAGCAAAAAAGGAUGAUAUUUGACACUUGGCAUUGAAUAUCUGAAUCAUGAUGUCCACAUAACUACAGCUAUGCACCACAUAAUGAUGUUUUACUCAACAACAGACCACAUAUACAAUGGUGGUUUCAUAAGGCUAUAAAGGAGCUGAAAAUUUCUUACCACCUCAUGUCCUCAUGUCAUAGUGCAACAUAUUGCUCUUGUGUUUGCAGUGAUGCUGGCAUAAACAAACCCACUGUGCUUUCAGUUGUAUAAAACUGUAGCCCAUACAAUCAUGUACAGUACAUAAUACUCAAUGAUGAUAAACUAAAUGACUAUGUUA
rnacentral:lncRNA from 1 species